GACGAACGCUGGCGGCGUGCUUAACACAUGCAAGUCGAACGGAAAGGCACUGCUUUUGUGGGGUGCUCGAGUGGCGAACGGGUGAGUAACACGUGAGUAACCUGCCCUUCACUUUGGGAUAACUUCAGGAAACUGGGGCUACUACCGGAUAGGAGAUCCUGCUGCAUGGUGGGGGUUGGAAAGUUUCGGCGGUUGGGGAUGGACUCGCGGCUUAUCAGCUUGUUGGUGGGGUAGUGGCUUACCAAGGCUUUGACGGGUAGCCGGCCUGAGAGGGUGACCGGGCACAUUGGGACUGCGAGACGGACCAGAGUCCUAUGGGAGGCAGCAGUGGGAAAUAUUGCACAAUGGGCGGAAGCCUGAUGCAGCAGCGCCGCGUGCGGGAUGACGGCCUUCGGGUUGUAAACCGCUUUCGCCUGUGACGAAGCGGGAGUGACGGUAAUGGGUAAAGAAGCACCGGCUAACUACGUG
rnacentral:rRNA from 1 species